rnacentral:lncRNA from 1 species
AGACAAUCAAAUUAUAUCCAUUCAAAAAAUAGCAAUUGUUCACAUGACAAUACAGAGUUCCAACAAUCUAGUCUGAUUCCAAAAAACAAAUCUUAAUAUCAAAACAUCAGAAGCAUAUCUAGAAAGCGAUAUAAGCAUUUUUUUUAUAUUUCAAGUAACAUAACUUCCAAGAAAAAGAUGCACUAUUAGCUGAUUUUUAAUAUCCAACACUACACCACCGCUUCCCGACGGCUAUUCAAAGCACUUCAAUCUCCAAACUGCCAAACCUGCAUAGAAUCCAAAACAUACAUAAUUAUAACAAGUUAUAACAGCCAGCUCCCAAAUGAAUCUAGAGAGUAAUAAUAUUAGUUGAUUUUCCAAGCAAUCAUUCAAUAGACACAACACUACUAUAUUAAGGUACCAUGAAAAUGUGGACAACACACGCUAAAAAAUAGCAUACUAGUUACAAGUUAAAAAAUUGUUCUAUAAAUGUGACAUUUUAUCGUCCAAACAUAGAAAGGUCAGAAUCAUUUUAAAACAAAGGGUGGACAGAUCAUUUCAUAUUUGCAAAGUACAACAACAAAAUCAAAUUUAUAUGCAUGUGACAUGGCUUGGUGUAUCAAAAUGGACGAUUCCGUACAAUACAAUGUAGUUCUUAGUUAACAAAACAUAAAAGUAGUAAUACUAGAGGCAUACUUUCUUCAUCAAUUAUAGCUAAUUUCUAUCAAUAAACUUGCCUUUUGCAUGUAAAAAAAUUAGUCAAAGGCAAGGCCAUUUCGGGCAAUAGAAUGAUCCACUUAAUUAGUGAUCUUAUUAUGCUAACAGUACAAUUCUUUACAAAGACGGAACAUUUCUGAGGAUCAGAAAACUUUAGCUAAGAACUUUAGAAUAAAGAUGAACAUAAUGGUUCAGAUUUAGUCUGAUGCUUUUAGACCAUAACCUUAUCAUCUAGACUAACCACACCUGAGAAUUAUGAACAACAGUAACAUAUGUUGGAAGGAAGAAAAAAGCAUACAUUCUCCCAUUUACUGAUUAGCUUUCAUAGCAUACAAGGUACAUAAUUAUUUCUUCCCACGCUUCAAUAUGUGAUAGGAUACAAGGCACACAAUUAUCUCUGCCCACAUGAAAAUGUAUGAAGUAAAUAAUUCAAGGGAAUAUACCUAGAUCUUUUUUUCUCCAGUUCUGGUUGUAUACAUAACAUUUUAGUUUAAUUUAGCACAUCAUUCAUUAGUUAUUCUUUCCAUCAAGCUUUCACCAAUGACGUGGUGUGAAUAAUACCAAGAAAUAGAGAAUAUGCUAGUAAUAACACUAAAAUUUUGAGACUGAACAAAUGCACUAUGUAGCAAAUCGAACACUCCUAAAUCUGAAGCGAGAAUAAUAUACCAUCUUUUAGUAGUCUUAAAGAAAAAUGUGUAAUCUUCAUUUCCAUCGGUCCUUGAGAUUGGAACUAUGCACACGCAUUUCCAGAAAAACAAUAGUAUAAAAUCCAUCACCUCUGCUGUAACAAGCGAAAACAACUCAGCAUCAAUUAAACUAUUAGCUUGCAAACCCAAAGAGGAAGGGAAACAGAAGGAUUGUUUAUACAGCUAUAUUAAGAAGUCAGGUAAUAUUUAAAUUGAAUAAGACAUCAACGCAGUAAUGAAGUUCAUUUCAAGGGUUUCACUUUGUGUCACCUAUUUGAUCAAAGCAGAACCUAUCAGACAAAGAUUAGUAUGCUAGAGAAACAAUGAGUACAGCAUGAUGAAGAUGUACUCUCAUCAAUGUUAGGAAGUGAAAUGCAAAGUAACAACUCCAGUGUUUGCAUAGAACACACCAGUCUUGCAUCCACAUUGUUUGCAACCAUAUUAAUACAAAACUUAAAGAUUCAAUCAGAAAGCAGAAGAAUAAGGGAGGAAUAACCCACUAUCCCAGUGACAGCAAACAGCAAAGCGUAACAAACAGAGGAAGAAAUCAAUCUAAUCGCCCUGGUCGCGUAGGCCAGCCAAUGGACAGAUGUGUAGUGCAAGAUAUUACUGUGAUUACUUUGAACAAACGUGCAGUGCAACAUCGAUGUCACAACAUCCAUCAGUUUUACUUGUUGCUCUUUAGGGGCGUGUGGCUUUCUGGCUACAACAUCAACAGCAGCAGCAUGACAGGGGGUCAAAAAAAACUCGACCUUGGGAGGCAAGAGUGCGAGGCCAAGCAGGCGGUGGUGUGCGGUUUUUCUUCUUUUCGUUUGUUUUCAGGCAGGAGGGCAACCCGUUUAUCCAAUCUGUAGGAGACUACAAUCAACUUGGAACUCAAUUACUGAAUUAAUUGAAGAUCGUGAAGAACCUGCAGGUUUAAUUCCCAUUAUUGGAUUUCUUGCAUUGUCGUACUACAUCCAACAACAUUUCAACCUAGUGAAGAUUGAAGUUGCAGCAUUGGAAACCCCACAGCCAACGUCCAGUAACGGGAUACAAACAAAAGUCUAAAACUGUACCCCAAAAAUACAUCUAGAACUCAAGUACAAGCAAGCCAUUUGCCGAGAUGCACUCACCAUCUAAUGAAAUCAAUGCGGCCGGUGCCGUCCGCUCCACCUUGCAAUAUUGCCAAGUCUCAUGCUAGUGAUGAAAUUGGCUUGACCUUUCUUCCCAGUUCUAAUGUACAAACUUCCAUAACGUGCAGAUUUGUUUCAAAUGCAUGCUAUUAUAUAAUCUAUCAAGUAGACAACAAAAAAGCCAUUAGGACGAUAAUAAAUAUGUAUAUAUAACAUUAAAAUCUGCAACACCUGACGAAUUUUAUUUGAUAUCUAAAGUGGAAGUAUGGAUCUGAAGUACAUACAGAACCAUAGUUUUUUGAGAAAUAUACAAUACCAUAGUUAAUACACUGGAGGCAGGAGCAGAUACCAAAAUACAGUCGUUUCAUCAAACAAAUAAGGACAAGUAAAAUAGGGUGUUAUGGUCCAGUAUACAACCUUGCCAUGUCAACAAAUAUUACAGCCAACUAUGGUUCACGGACCACUAUGCACACCAAGACAAUUGAACUCUGACACCGGCAUGGUCAAUCACAUUUUACAUAAAAUAUUCAGGUAAUUAACAAGCAUAACAUUUCACAGCAACAUUCCGUAUUACUCGUAAAGGCAAAAGAACAGAAGAAGUGUAUAUACCAAACAAUAUUCAUGCAUAUUGAGAUGGUUCCAUCCAAGGCAAUCGAAGCUAACAGGAAAAUAAAAAGAUGCAUGUGUACACGCAACAACAAUCUGAGAUGAUGAAACAAACCUGCAGAGCUGACCAUCCCCA